GGUGUCUCGGAUGCACCCCGGGUAGUGAUGAUGUAGAGUUCACCCUUCGUCGACGCAAAAAAACCACCGUCUCCUAUUUAUCUUUCUCUCUGCUCUCUCUCCCCACCUCUUUCUCAUACGCUUCGGGUCUUAUGUUCGGUUCUCCCCACACAUGAGCCACGCCCCUCACUACUACUCCUCAUGGGGUGGCUUCAGUCCCUCCUCUCUCCAUUGAAGAAGCUGUGGUUUCGUCUCCACUCGCCUCUGAACAAGAGAAGAGGGAUAUACAUUCUGUACGAGGAUGUCAAAUCAUGCCCGUGCGAGGACGUUCACGUGCUGUGGUCGAUUCUGGUGGAAGCGAACGCGCCUUCUUCGCCGUCCCCCGCCAAACAAUGAAGGCUCCAGGCCGCCAGGGGUCCUUCUGCUUCCCAUGAAACACUAGAAACCCCCAGUCAUGUACAUAAUAAACAUAUAUAUUUAUAAUGUCUUCCACUGUACACUUCCAUA